rnacentral:misc_RNA from 1 species
GGUAGCUGUUAAAAGCCUUAGCCUUAAAGAACACAAUCAGAGAUAGUGAAAUUAAAGUGAAAAUUGAUUUAAGAGCCUCUCCUUCACCAAGCAAGACCAAUGAUGCAAAAAGUACAGAUAAAUAACACAAUGAUUUUGUUUCAUAAAAUGCUGAACUGCAAUAAUUGAGUUAGGGUAGUUGUAUCUAUAUUCUUACCUAUUC